rnacentral:RNase_P_RNA from 1 species
AGUAAGACAGACGAUCGCGACUCUUUUAGAGGUGAGGAAAGUCCGAGCACCACAGGGCAGAGUGCCGGGUAACGCCCGGUGAAGGCGACUUCAAGGAAAGUGCAACAGAGAGAUACCGCCCGUUUUUCGGGUAAGGGUGGAAAGGCGAGGUAAGAGCUCACCAACGGCAUGGCGACUUGUCCGUUCUGUAAACCCCACUCGGUGCAAGAUUGGAAUGGGAGCAUUCAAUAGCGGCCCGCUACGCUCCUUAUAAUCGCUUGAGCGGCCCGGCAACGGGUCGACCAGAUAGAUGAUCGUCCUUUGACAGAACUCGGCUUACGGCUUG